UCUGAUUCUAGCCGCAUGAGAAACAUUUAAAUUUUCCUCCCUACUCGGCCUAAGCUUUCACAGACUUAUCUUCAAAUGCCUCAAUCUGCUCUUCCAUAAACAAUAAACGUGCAUGCCCCUAACCUUGAAGAAUUCACUUCGAGAGCCUUAAGAACGAAUCAAGGCUUUGGCUAAUCGUGAAAGGCAGCAGUCAACACAGGUAACGAAAUAAAAUCAUUGAGGAGUGAUAAGAUCUACAGGAAAGUUGCAUUCUGUCAGAAACGAUGGCAAGAUCCGAAAGGGAUGGUGGUACAAGGAAUGCUGAUAUAUGUGAUCCUUCUCAUGGAGUAGAUGAUCAGGUCACAGUUGAUAUUGAUUCAUUGACCUCUUCCGUUGAAAAUAUGAUGUCCCAGAAUUUGAUAAUGCCUGAUAAAGUAUGCAUCUUUAGAGUGCCCCACAUUCUCCGAAGGCAUAGGGAAAAAGCUUAUACCCCCAACGCAUUUUGAAUUGGCCCCUGGCACCGUCACCAUCCACUGAUGGAAUCUACAGAGAAAAUUAAACUGAAGUAUCUCAAAGGCCUUCUCUGCCGAAGAUCUGCGAGCAUAACACUGAAGGGGUUGAUCAAUUCCACCAGGGGGAUCGAGAAAGAGGCACGUUCGUGUUAUGCCGGACCAAUUGAUGUCGGUGUGGAGGAUUUUGUAAGAAUAUUGGUAAUAGAUGGUUGCUUUCUUAUUGAGCUAUUUAGAAAGGAUGAAGAUAAUCAUCUUAGAGAAGAUGAUGAUCCUAUCUUCAACAUGUCUUGUAUGUUGCAGUACCUAUAUCAUGACUUGAUAUUGGUAGAAAACCAAAUACCUUGGUUGAUCCUUGAACACUUGUUCAACAUGACCGCGGAACCUGGAAACGCGACAACCCUCGCACAACUUGCCCUUCAAUUCUUUCAAAACAUUUUUUCAUUUCAUCCACCCUCCAUAGAUCCCUCUUACCAAGGACAAAAACAUUUGCUUGACCUCUUAAGAAAUUGGUUAGUUUUGUCAUCUGGAGAAGAGGAAGAUAGUGAAACCAGAUGGGAACCUAUGCCUUCCGUCACAAAUCUUGUAGACGCCGGAAUUAAAUUGAAGGCGGGUGAGUCAAGAAGCAUCUUGGAUAUAAAAUUCGAAAAUGGUUUCCUGGAAAUCCCUCCAUUGCUAGUUCAGGAGACAACUGAAGUCAUCAUUCGAAACCUCAUCAGCUACGAGAAGUGUUCUCCUAAAUGCACUGACAUAAUCACUUCAUA